CUUCGUUUCGGUUCGGUUUGUCUUUUGGGGUUCUUCUCGCCUUCGAAAGCGCCGUCCUUCUUCAGUGUUUUCACAUUUUCACGUACAGUUCAAUCGUGAGGUUCAGCCUAGUGAGUUCUGUGUAGUUAAGUCGGAAUAUUUCGUAUAGUUCUCGUCGACUGUCGUCUGACAUUUGUUCUUCUAUUCCGAAACGCUGCAUUGAAAUACAAAAAUAAUACAAACUAGAAUAUUCAACAAAACAAAAAACCAAGGAAACGAAAAACCAAUUAAAAUUUUAACAAAAUAAUAACUCGCUUCAAAAUAUAUUGCAAAUAUAUCAACAAAUUUAAUCAAAUCAAAUUCACCAACAAAUCGAAAACAAACUCUAUUAAUUCGUUUACUCAAAAAUCCAAAAACACAAAACAACCAAAAACCGAUUCAAAUAUAUAACUGUUAAAUCUAAACGAGCAGGCGAUCUACUGGGAAGCGAGAGAGGAAGGGCAUCAGCAGCAGCACUACUACACGCGUGUGUGUUUAAAUACUGGAAAAUACAGAUAAGAUAAAUUAUUAUAGACACUCACGAGUACAUUUAGAGCAGACCAAACCCAGAGACAGACAACCGCAGAGAAUCAAAAGCACUCCAAGAGCAAAUCAAUAAAACAAAAACAAAACCCAAACAACAACAAAAAAAACAACAACAGAAACAACAGAAACAAAGAGAAAAAGCAACUCAAAAAACAAAAUUUUAAAAAAAGUGUUACCAAAAAAAACUUAAAAAAAAAAGAAAAUUAUUUAAAAGACAAAACCCGUACUCGUAACGGUGCAGACAACUGAAAAUACCCAGUGAAAAUUCAGAAAAGCGUUGACCAUUUUUUCUCGCAAAGGCGCCACGUCCAAGAGCAAAUCGUUCCAUAUGGUUCAUAUUAUUGAAUUGGUCGGCCAGCCGAAGGUUGAGUUUGCUCAACAAGUUACUAUGAACCGUGCUUUACAGCUGAAGCCAGCUGAAAAUGAAAGUCGCAGCGAGCAUCUAGAUCGCAAGCUCUUCGUUGGCAUGCUCAGCAAACAACAGACCGAAGACGAUGUUAGACAAAUCUUCCACCCGUUCGGCUCUAUAGAGGAGUGCACCAUAUUGCGGGGCCCGGACGGUACGAGCAAAGGCUGCGCAUUCGUCAAAUUCGGAACGCAACAGGAGGCUCAGUCAGCAAUAGCCAAUCUACACGGAAGUCAAACUAUGCCGGGUGCAUCCUCCAGCCUGGUCGUCAAAUACGCCGACACAGAGAAGGAACGACAAAUCAGGCGCAUGCAACAAAUGGCCGGUCAUAUGAACCUGCUGAAUCCGUUUGUCUUUAAUCAGUUCAGCCCGUACGGCGCCUACGCUCAGCAACAGCAGCAAGCCGCUCUGAUGGCUGCCGCUGCCACCGCGCCUGGCUCGGCAGCCGCCUACAUGAACCCCAUGGCCGCCCUGGCAACGCAAAUACCUCAUGGCUUGAACGGCACCGGACAGCCGCCCUCUUUGCCCUCGCCGACCAUGCCCAACUUCAGCAUGGGCGCCAACACGCCCAACGGCCAGCCCGGUGGAGCUGCCGCGGCUGCAGCAGCUGCUGCGGCGGACGGGGUCUUCACGAACGGCAUUCCACAAACGGCAUUCCCAGGACAUCCGCUGCAUUUGACUAUACCACCACAAGGUCUGCCAAACGGCGAUGCUGCUACUCUGCAACAUGCCUUCCCUGGGCUGCCACCGUUUCCAGGAGUUGCCUUCCCCGCCGUCUAUGGACAGUUUCCACAAGCUUUACCACCUCCCCUAGCGGCGGUUGCACCCACUCAGCGUGAAGGAUGCUCGAUAUCCGGUCCAGAGGGCUGCAAUCUCUUCAUCUACCAUUUGCCCCAAGAGUUUGGCGAUGCGGAGUUAAUGCAAAUGUUCCUGCCCUUUGGCAAUGUGAUCAGCUCCAAGGUCUUCAUCGAUCGUGCUACAAACCAGAGCAAAUGCUUCGGUUUCGUGUCCUUCGAUAAUCCAGCCAGCGCUCAAGCGGCCAUUCAGGCCAUGAAUGGCUUCCAGAUUGGCAUGAAAAGACUGAAAGUUCAAUUGAAGCGGCCAAAGGAUGCCAGUCGACCCUAUUAACAAUCGGAGUUCCUUAAGUGUAAUUCGCAACAACUACAACUACUUCCUGGAGCACCAACAACAGGAGUAGUCGCAGGAGCAGCCAUGCCACAAACUACAACACAAUUUGCAACAGCAGCAGCAGCAGCAGCAACAGCAUCCACAGCAACAGCAACAGCCACAGCAACAACCACAGUGCACCACUAUAGUCACAGAAGCAGCUUUAGGCCACCAUUUCCCAAUGACAACUCCACUCAUAUGCCGGUAUCAAUUCGCCAGCUGGCGCGAAAUGGUGACCUACUGCUAUCGCUAUAUAGUACCCCGCCAGAAACACUUCCUCCCCAGCCCCAAAAAGCAACCAACAACAGCAACAUCAGCAAGGACAACAACAACAGCACCAACCAACAACAACAGCACCAACAAACACCCACCAGCAGCACCACACCAAACAACAAUAGCAAGCACUGCAGGCAGCAGAAUGGACCGAUUCCCAUCCACAUCCAACUCAACCGGACAUGGCAUCCAAUAGCAACCAGAAGGAACUAUCCAAAGUGGAAUAAGUCGAAAAACUGUUCAAGUGGCAGCAACAAAAGCGAAAGACCUAAAGCCACCAGGACCCCACAAACAGCAACCAUGACAACUGCGACAACAAUAACGAGCGACUACUGAAAGGAUGGUCUUCACCAUGCUAAGUGAAAUGAUUAUAAAAAUUAAACACAUGCAAAAUCGGUGUGUAAAAAAACCUAAAAUAAUAGUAAACAACCAAA
rnacentral:misc_RNA from 1 species